rnacentral:rRNA from 1 species
GACGAACGCUGGCGGCGUGCCUAAUACAUGCAAGUAGAACGCACAGGAUGCACCGUAGUUUACUACACCGUAUUCUGUGAGUUGCGAACGGGUGAGUAACGCGUAGGUAACCUGCCUGGUAGCGGGGGAUAACUAUUGGAAACGAUAGCUAAUACCGCAUAAGAACAUUUACUGCAUGGUAGAUGUUUAAAAGGUGCAAAAGCAUCACUACCAGAUGGACCUGCGUUGUAUUAGCUAGUUGGUGAGGUAACGGCUCACCAAGGCAACGAUACAUAGCCGACCUGAGAGGGUGAUCGGCCACACUGGGACUGAGACACGGCCCAGACUCCUACGGGAGGCAGCAGUAGGGAAUCUUCGGCAAUGGGGGGAACCCUGACCGAGCAACGCCGCGUGAGUGAAGAAGGUUUUCGGAUCGUAAAGCUCUGUUGUUAAGGAAGAACGUGUGUGAGAGUGGAAAGUUCACACAGUGACGGUACUUAACCAGAAAGGGACGGCUAACUACGUGCCAGCAGCCGCGGUAAUACGUAGGUCCCGAGCGUUGUCCGGAUUUAUUGGGCGUAAAGCGAGCGCAGGCGGUUAGAUAAGUCUGAAGUGAAAGGCAGUGGCUCAACCAUUGUAGGCUUUGGAAACUGUUUAACUUGAGUGCAAAAGGGGAGGGUGGAAUUCCAUGUGUAGCGGUGAAAUGCGUAGAUAUAUGGAGGAACACCGGUGGCGAAAGCGGCUCUCUGGUCUGUAACUGACGCUGAGGUUCGAAAGCGUGGGGAGCGAACAGG